rnacentral:rRNA from 1 species
GCGAAGGCAAGCGGAUCUCUUAAAGCUGUUCUCAGUUCGGACUGCAGUCUGCAACUCGACUGCACGAAGCUGGAAUCGCUAGUAAUCGCGGAUCAGCACGCCGCGGUGAAUACGUUCCCGGGCCUUGUACACACCGCCCGUCACACCAUGGGAGCCGGUAAUACCCGAAGUCAGUAGUCCAACCACGUGAGGACGCUGCCGAAGGUAGGAUUGGCGACUGGGGUGAAGUCGUAACAAGGUAGC